rnacentral:rRNA from 1 species
UACAGAGGGGGCGAGCGUUGUUCGGAAUUACUGGGCGUAAAGGGCGCGUAGGCGGCCUGCUAAGUCGAACGUGAAAUCCCCGGGCUCAACCCGGGAACUGCGUCCGAGACUGGUUGGCUCGAAUCCGGGAGAGGGAUGUGGAAUUCCAGGUGUAGCGGUGAAAUGCGUAGAUAUCUGGAGGAACACCGGUGGCGAAGGCGACAUCCUGGACCGGUAUUGACGCUGAGGCGCGAAAGCCAGGGGAGCAAACGGG